GAUGGACGCUGGCGGCGUGCCUAAUACAUGCAAGUCGAGCGAAUGGAUUAAGAGCUUGCUCUUAUGAAGUUAGCGGCGGACGGGUGAGUAACACGUGGGUAACCUGCCCAUAAGACUGGGAUAACUCCGGGAAACCGGGGCUAAUACCGGAUAAUAUUUUGAACUGCAUGGUUCAAAAUUGAAAGGCGGCUUCGGCUGUCACUUAUGGAUGGACCCGCGUCGCAUUAGCUAGUUGGUGAGGUAACGGCUCACCAAGGCAACGAUGCGUAGCCGACCUGAGAGGGUGAUCGGCCACACUGGGACUGAGACGCGGCCCAGACUCCUACGGGAGGCAGCAGUAGGGAAUCUUCCGCAAUGGACGAAAGUCUGACGGAGCAACGCCGCGUGAGUGAUGAAGGCUUUCGGGUCGUAAAACUCUGUUGUUAGGGAAGAACAAGUGCUAGUUGAAUAAGCUGGCACCUUGACGGUACCUAACCAGAAAGCCACGGCUAACUACGUGCCAGCAGCCGCCGCAG
rnacentral:rRNA from 1 species